UACGUAGGGACCAAGCGUUGUCCGGAAUCAUUGGGCGUAAAGAGCGUGUAGGCGGCUUGUUAAGUCUUGCGUGAAAUCUCGGGGCUCAACCCCGAGCGGUCGUGAGAAACUGGCAGGCUAGAGUGCGGGAGAGGAGAGUGGAAUUCCUGGUGUAGCGGUGAAAUACGCAGAUAUCAGGAAGAACACCCGUGGCGAAGGCGGCUCUCUGGAACGCAACUGACGCUGAGACGCGAAAGCGUGGGGAGCAAACAGG
rnacentral:rRNA from 1 species